ACUGGAUUUGCGUCCUUGUACCAAAGAAUCUCUGGCGUUGGUGUGCCAUCGGCUUGGCAAUUGAGUAUAAUUGAGUCACCUGCAAGAAACAAAUAACGCAGCCGAGGCAACGACAAUGCACAAUGGCAAAUUAAUAAGGAUGUGAUAUUUCAUUCAGCUCAGCUUACAGAACAGCUAAACGUCGCGUCGCAUCGUAGGUAUCAAGCUCACCCCUCCGUCCCGUCUUCCUCCUGCUCCGUCUUCCUGCUAACGAAUGUUGGCAACAUUAACAUAGUGUCAACCAGGACCAAAACCGAAGUUACUAGAAAACAUCUCUACCAAUUCAUUUAAAGUCCGGUUAUUCUGUCAACCAGUUAAGUCAGUUACGAGGUCCAAAGCAAAGCAAACCUAAAAGCAUGUCGAUAUUAGGCCAGAUAAAUUGAAAAUGAAUUGCGAAAUAGAGUGAGCUGAUGGCAAUGGAAGGGCAUCCUCCAAAAGAACUUUAGCGAGGGCCUCAUAGAAAUACAUAAACAACAGGCAGCUAGAGGCAGUUAUCCAGAAGGAAAGGGCAGCCAUCCAGCACAAGCUCAACACAACAUAGCACAGUACAACAUUCAUCCACGUCAAUGGCAUUAAGUCAGUCGCAGCGAAGGCAUCAAGAGAAUUGAAUGAAGCGGAAACGGAAACCAAGCUAAUGAAUGAAGCACAACGAACCAAAUGAACGCCAUGGGUUGCUCAGGGUGCUUGGGUGCCUCGCCCAAAGGUCCAAAACCGAUGUUAAACUGUGCACUUCACUGGUUCGACGAGGUGACCACGGUCUUACUAUCCCAAUGCAACCUCAGCCUUCUUCAUCUAACUUAAGGACAUUUACAGUUUACACCCAAAUGAAUAUUUAAAUUUGGAAACACAAUAGCUCUAGUGCCAAUAAAUGUGAUGAUCAACACAAAAUCAGUGACAAAAUCGUCAGACCACGCUAAUUUUUGCUUCCAGUAUUAACUCUAAGCAAAAUUCCUAAAAUGUGACGAUUAAGACAAUAUCUGAAAAUCGCUCUACUUUAUAAAUUGUAAUUAGGCUUAAUUAAGAGACAUCUAAGUCAAACUCAAAGUUCAUUAUCUUAUUAUUUUUGUAUUUCAAUAUCA